rnacentral:rRNA from 1 species
AUUGAACGCUGGCGGCAUGCUUUACACAUGCAAGUCGAACGGUAACAGGGUGCUUGCACCGCUGACGAGUGGCGAACGGGUGAGUAAUGCGUCGGAACGUGCCGAGUAGUGGGGGAUAACGCAGCGAAAGCUGUGCUAAUACCGCAUACGAACUGAGGUUGAAAGUGGGGGACCUUCGGGCCUCACGCUAUUCGAUCGGCCGACGUCUGAUUAGCUAGUUGGUAGGGUAAAGGGCUACCAAGACGACGAUCAGUAGCGGGUCUGAGAGGAUGAUCCGCCACACUGGGACUGAGACACGGCCCUGACUCCUACGGGAGGCAGCAGUGGGGAAUUUUGGACAAUGGGGGAAAGCCUGAUCCAGCCAUGCCGCGUGUCUGAAGAAGGCCUUCGGGUUGUAAAGGACUUUUGUCCGGGAGCAAAUACGCAGUGCUAAUAACGCUGCGGGCUGAGAGUACCGGAAGAAUAAGCACCGGCUAACUACGUGCCAGCCGCCGCCGUAAAAC